rfam:Dictyostelium lacteum strain TK contig05409_1.exp, whole genome shotgun sequence.
GGCUGUGUAGCACAGUGGAAGUGCGAUUGGCUACGAACCAAUAGGUCGCAGGUUCGAAACCUGCCUCAGUCG